rnacentral:misc_RNA from 1 species
GCAUAUCUGAUAGGCACAUGGUCCGGUUAUCUGAAAUGUAUCAGAGGAGCACUGCUCGAAUGUAUUCGUGGAUGGAUCAUCUAGCCUUGGUGCAUAUAUCUGGUUGCCAUAACCGUCCCCGAAAGCAAGGCUGAUCUGAUCGCGGUUGUAUUUGGGUGAGGAGCAGCUUGUUGAUAUGAUCACUUGGUAUGAGCAGCUUCCCACAUUCUGGAUUAAACUGAGAUUGAAAGAGUGGAGAGCUAGAGGCCUGAGCCUGUUCGAUUCUGCUUCUGAUAUGAUAAAUAACAAGGCAAAGUAGAGCAGAAAAGAAUAAACAGCUUUGAUCAUUUUGUUCAUGAAACAGCGCAGGGAUGAACUAAAA